CGUCCAACAAGAUGAGGACUGUGACGAGAUGAGGACUGUGCAUGCUCAUAGCCGAAGUCAGAACUCAGCAUGUUCAAGCAUUUUGCCAUCUGUAGUCAAGGUAUUAAAGGCCAGUCACUGUGGGGAUAGAAGUAAAUCUAAUGCCGAAGUCAGGAACAGCUGAUCUUAAGAAUUCCGCUCAGGAUGGUGGUCAGGAUCCAAGAAUCAUCAUAGGUCGAAGCU
rnacentral:lncRNA from 1 species